CCUGCAGGGUAGCGCCACAGGCUCUGAGGGUGCCUCUAGGAAAAAUAAACCUGUAAGGAGAAAUAUUCUGGGUGCAGUCACAUCUCCCUGAACCACAUCCCUGUUCCUUACAGGUGCCUGAGGGUGCCCCAUGGGGCUGUAAGGAAUGUGACACAGCCCUCUUGAGGAGUUGUAUCCAUCUUGAGAUAGCUGUGAGGGGACAGCCCCAGCACCAGGGGUCAGUGGGAAACACAAUUGUGUUUUCUCCCCUGCAAGGGGUAUCUGGACUUAGACUCCCAAGACAAGAUAGUUUAAGGGCACAGGACAGCUUCUUUUGGGGAAGUGGGCUCUGCCAAGCAGAAGUUAAGAAGCUUCCAGAACAUGCCCCUGUGCUGAAGCGCACCUAGCUGUUCUAGGUGGGACCUACCACAGUGAGAACUGCAGCAGCAAUCAGCCCUAGUGCUGGCCAUCAUCUGCAAUCAGCCAUCAAGUUCCAGUUUUCUUGUGUUGACAUCAUGGGAAGAGGCUUUAAAUGAGACUAGUAUCUCUGUUAGUGACAGAACAUAGCAGGCAAAUAGUAGAGGCCAGAAACUCAUGAACUGAGAUGGUCUUUAAUAGUCAAGUUAAAAAAACAAAGGAAUUGUUCCUCGUCAAAUAUGGGCAACAAUUGUUGUCAGCGUGUGCACUGAGACUGUGUAUCAUUAAUCACUAGAAUCGAGCAUUUCCUAAUUUUUAGGUAGUGUUGCUGAUUUGUCUUAGUUAAUGAUGUAGGAAACUAGUUUUUUAAGUCUCACAACACAUUGAAUUUAAAUGCUUGCAUACCUACACAUUGAAUUUAAAUGCUUGCAUAAGCAUCCCAGAGCAUUUCUGGUACUUACAUUUUAGUGGCUGUUUUUCUGACAUUCUGUGAAGCAUGACUAUUCUUUUCCUUCAUUUCCCCAAAGAUAUUGAUGUGUAUGUGCAGAGAAGUGGAAUUCCAACUGAGGUCUCCAAUAGAAAAAUAACAUAUUAAAAACCAAUCUGAGCACUUAAGAACUUUAUCAACUCAAGAAACUGGAAUUACUGUGGAAAUCUCAGUAUUGUGUCUGUUUUCUAUUAAUACCAAGAAUUCUUACUCAUGGACUAACAUCAUACUGUAUUAGAGACCAAACACACAUAAAACAGAAACACCUUUGCUUCCAUUUGUAAAAUUAGUAUGAAGCAAGAAGUAAAACAUAGAAAAAGGCAGAUUAGGGAACACAAGAAAAUAUUGGAUGGUCAUCUGAGGAAUCUUUCUGUUCAUUGCUGGUACGGAAGGGAGAGUGGCAUUCUGAUAUCUAUACAUUCAGGAUCAGUCAACAGUAGCAAAAUAUGUCUUGCUCACUUCAUAAUCUGGAGGAAACUUCAGGCUGAAUUUGCAAUUAGACAUACACGAUGUUUGCAUUGUAUAGAGGCUGUGUGAAGGGAUUUAGUUUGCCUUUUUCCCCCAAAUUAGCUAUUACAUAAUUAAUCCUUAGAAAUCCUCUGCCUGUUUAGAAUAAACACAAGGAGAAAUGAGAGAAUGUCCCAUUCUCAGGUUUUUAAGUAAUGACAUGAGCAUGCCAGUGAUGCAUUAUCCCUUUUGUAAAGUUAUACAAGUUGAGAGGUAUUUGUUUGUUUGUCCGUAUCAAUUGUCUCCAGGUGUUUGGUGUUUUUCUGUGCUUUUCAAAAAGGCAGGAAGGGGAGGAUGUUCCUAAAUAAUAUGUUGCCCUGACUUUAUAAGGCUUGUUUUGUCUGGCAAAUGAAUUAUGUAAACCUUUUCCACCCGAAACUGUUUCAAGUCAAUUAAUUGUUGUAAUUACUUAAGAUUUCUUUUUAAUGAAUAUGACUCUCCAGGGAUUUGAUGAUAUUCUGUCAUCUGUAGACCUGAUAAAUGAAAUGUGAUUUGUGGCUUGCUGCAAACUGAACCCUUGUACUUGAACAAUGUCUCUCUUUCCUAUGUGCUCACUAAAUGGAAGAAAUGCCCUUGAUGGAAUUAGAAACAUUUGCUUCAGUUGGUCCCUAGCAAGAAUGGCUAGUAUAGGCAGGUAAGGUUUGGCUUUUACUCCUUUUGUUCCCUCUUCCUUUAAAUGCAGGCCUUGUUAACACAUUGACAAUUACUAAGACCAAACACACAACCCCAGUGAGGCUACCUAUUGUAAUUGAGAACUAGCUGAGUUCUUCCAUCUCUCAUCUCCAUUAGAUGCACUGAAAUGUGAAAGAUUAGCAGUCAGAGAGGAAGGAAACCAACACUGUAUGAUGGUUUUCUUAUAUUACCUUUUGUAUUGCUUUCUUUGCCUCACCAACAUUUUGUAAUAAGAACAGCCAAAUCUGGCAAGCAAGGCACCCUCUCCUUGUUUUUGUGCAAUACCUAGUUUCCAGUGCACAAUAUCUAGAUUCCAGUGCUUCUCAAGAAAAACAGAGCUGCCCAGUGCUGCAGAUGAAGACAAGCAAUCUGAGACAGCAUGACAAAAAACCAUGAAGUCUGAAUUGAGUUCCUGCAGUGUGACUGCUUGUAUGUGUUUCCACUAGCCUAUUUUCCCUUACACUGCCAUGCAAAUAGUAUAGCUAAAUCUCCAAUGUUAGGAAAGUAUAAAGCAGGUGGAGUUUCCUGAUUUAAAUUCCAUUGGUAAAAUGGGGAUUAUUGCUUUAUUGCAAGACCUUUCCUGAAUAUCACGUGGGUACAUUAAACAUCGUAAAAUACAUAGCCAAAUGUAGUGGCUUGGUUAUAGGUUGGAAUGUAAGGACAAUGAAUUAUUGUGUAUCUCAAGCAAAGAUCACUUUGACCUUUUUCCAGUCAAAAGAGGGUGCCUCAUAUAUGCAUAGCUGUCUAAAUCUGGCAGUCAUGGGUAGUGUAAGUGUACAGAAGAGACAGCAUCCCUGAUAAUGGAAGUGAAUUAACAAACAGAAGAAACUGUUAUGUCUAUUAGUGGUCCAGGAAAAACAAAGGGCUGUGAAGGGUGCAAAGGUGAAAACUGUGAAGAAAGAGUGACAAAGAAACAUCAGACCAAUGUCUGGGAGGAAGAAUCAUGGAAAAUGAGAAAACAUUGAAUUUUCACAGAAAGGGAUUUUGCACUUUGGGGUUCAAAAGCCAGGAGAGAUUGUAGUGACAAAACUAUAUCAAACCCUAAGUCUUUCUAAACUCAAACCCGCUUCUUUAUGCUGGCAUAAAAGAUAUUGUCUUUCUCUUCCUCCAACCUGCCCUUUUUCUUUCUGGGCUAGCAGGACCUAUAGCCAAGGAUACAAAUGUACAAUAAACUUCAAGGAACUAUUUUUCCUGGCUUGAUGGGUCCAGCUGAAAAAGUGGUAUCUAGAAGUUUAUGACACUGAUUGUCUUUGGUUCAGUAAUUGGAUGGAAGACAUUCAGAUCACCUUUGAUUAGAUGAACUUCUGAAACUACUGAGAUUUAUCAGUGCACAGAUCUUACUCUCAGAGGACUCAAGUAAAAGUGUCCCAUUAACUUAAUGAAUCAGGCCGCAAGAGAACAACUGCUCUUGAAGUCAGAAUGAGAGAUUUCCCAUCAGUGGCACAAAUUCUGCCAAUAAAGGCAACAGGAUUUCUCAAGUGAAAUGAGAUUAGAAAAUGUCUCCCCUGAUUUUCAGUAGUUAGAUGAUUGACUAUCCUGUAAUAGGCUAAUUAUUAGAUUUCCCUUCAAUUUUUGUGUUGCAGAAAGGAAGGAAAGUUUCUUUCUCUACCUAGAUUGUGUGAUAGUUGUGGCACUGUUUCAUCAAUGCCAUUGCAUAGUCUUGACCUUUGAAAGAUGGUAUGGUGCAUUCAUCUUUCUCAAUCUCCUCUGCCUUCAGCAAGGUGUCCUCAGCUCUGGAACUUCUGGCAAUUUGACAAAGGCAUCUCCCUACAUGUCAGUUCCUGUUAUCCACUCUGUCUUCUUCACAUAUGACACACAUGUCAGCUCUCAUUUUUUUCACUGCUUUCUUUGUUUGCUCCUUCACAGGUGGGAGAUUCCUCAUCCUCUUUUUUGAGCCAUUUCCAGGGUGGUCCUUAUUUUUCCUGCAAUGCCUUCCUUGACAACUUUAAAGAUCCUUUUUGUCACUGAUGUUCUGUGUGAUGAGGCAUUGACAAGAAGGCAAUGAUCACUGCCUCUCCUCUCAUCUAGAAGUGAAUCAGCAGGAAGCAGAGAUUAUAGAAACAUGUUCUUGUCAGUCUGUCCUUCAAAAAGGCAGGGAGCCUCCCCGACUGCGCCCCUGGUAGCUCCUCAGUGGUCUUGAAAGUUGGAUGCAGGGAAAACAACCAAAAGAGUUAACUUACAAGAAAUAACUGUUGUCAGACAAGUGAUCCUGAAGGCUGAUAAAAAAAAAGUAUUCCUGACACUGUUACUUUCUUAUUUAGAUGUUUGGGCACUUACAGUAAAAAGUUCAAUAAGAGCUGAGACAGUGGACAGAUACUGUUCAAAUUGCAUAUGAUGGUUUCAUAUGCUUAACUACUUAUCUGAAGUGAUAAAAUUAAAACAGAAACAUAGUAAUUUAGGCAAAUUUUAAGCCUUGUUUCUCCUUUCAUAUGUGGCUUUUUGCACUACUUUACCUUUGUAAAGAUAAUUUAUACUAGUGUGACAUCAAAAUUACAUCAUAGAAGCAGAUACUUACAAUAAAUGUUGGUUUUGAAAAUACUAAGUUGGUCUUAUCUAAUCUAACCAGGUUUUAUAGAAAUAAACCUAUUUUGGUAAAUUUUGAGGCGUUUUUAAAUGCAAGUUUUAUUUCUACAAUCACUAGUGUAAAUAAUUUAGACAGAAUGAAGACACCCCAUUGCUGAGGUGUCUUCCUCUAUAAAAGUAGACUACAUUGGAACACAUACUAAUAAAAUUGUCUUUUCUGAAUAUUUUGGGAUCUUUCUUACAAAUUUAGUAAUUUUUUUGUUUGUGUCUGGUCUACUUAAGAAGUUGCUAGCACAAAGCAGUGAGAAUAGUCAGGUUUGUCUUGCCUUUCAGAGUUUUCCUUUUAAUGCAGUCCAGAGAUGAUUCAGUUAGUGACUUUUACCAAAUCAAAUCCACUACUUUGUUUUUACAUAAAUUUUAUAGGAAUAAUCUGUGUUCUUAAAGUUGGGAAGGUUUUUCAAUAACUGGCUACAUGGUAAACAAGAGAUAUUCAAAAUUCUAGCAGUAACUUAUAUCACAAUAUUCUUACUGUUUUCUCCUACAAAAAUAAGUUGCCAAACAAAGCUGUCACAGUGAAUUAGAGCAUGGUUCAAAUGAAAAAUGCAAAAGAAUGUACAACCUAAACUUAAAAGAAAGUUAAAUUACAUUAGCAAAGAAAAGGUAUAAGAAGUCUUUAAAAUGCUCUCUCCAUAUCACACAGUUUCCAGUAACAAAAUAAAAAUUGUAAUAUUUUAUUAUUAUAAUAAAUAGAAUGCAUGCUUUCCGAAAUUGCCUAUAGUCACAUACUUUUUUGUUAUACAGUAAACACUUUAAAUUG